GGGUCCUACCCAGCGGUAGCCUCACGCCCCGACAGCAUGAGCACGUG
rnacentral:ribozyme from 1 species